rnacentral:lncRNA from 12 species
GUUUGUUUUCCUUUCUGUCCCCGAGGAAUCAUAUUUUGGGUCAGGCAGCAGGAAAGGCAAGAGCAUUCUCAUGUGGUGAAUUUUUCCAAUGUGUACCAGAAGGAGAGCACAGCAGGAAACCCUGAAACACGGGCACACCACAGGAGCAGACAGCACUGCACUCACAGCCCAAUUUAAUUCCCAAGGCUCCUGAAGAGAAGAGCAGGGCCUGGCAUGGCCUGGGCACAGCUGCCCCAGGGACCCCACAGCAGCUGAUCCCAAACUCCAAACUCCCUCCUGACACCAUCAGCAUCCACAUCAGAAUGGUGGGGAUGCAAAUCACUGUCCUGUCCUGGGGGUGCCAUGCCCAGCACCUGUGUGACAGCACCCAGAUGUGCAACAGCACCCAGAUGUGUGCCAGCACCUGUCUGUGCACCAGCAUCCAGACGUGCAACAGAACCCAGAUGUGUGACAGCACUCAGCUGUGCACCAGCACCCAGGUGUCCCUCAGUAGCAGAUGUCUCCCAGCACCUGUCCAUGCAGCACCCAGAUGUGUCCCAGCAUCCAGAUGUGUUCCAGCACCCAGCCAUGCACCAAGACCCAGCCAUGUCCCUAACACCCAGCUGUGCCCCAGCACUCACCCAUGUCCCCGAAAUCUGGCCAUGUCCCUAACACCCACCCAUGUCCCCAGCACUCAGUCAUGUCCCCAACACCAGCUGUGCCCCAACACCCAAUCAUGUCCCCAACACCCAGCUGUGCCCCAACACCCAGUCAUGUCCCCAACACCAGCUGUGCCUCAACACCCAGUCAUGUCCCCAACAUCCAGCUGUGCCCCAACACCCAGUCAUGUCCCCAACACCAGCUGUGCCCCAACACCCAGUCAUGUCCCCAACACCAGCUGUGCCCCAACACCAGCUGUGCCAGCGGCUGCCCCAGGUGUUUCUCCAUCACAGGGCUGAACUUGCUUCUCUGACUCAACCCUGCAACUUGUAAUAAACCGGGGCCAGGAGAGGCUCCAAACCAAAACAGCAGGGCUGUGCAGGGCUGUGCAGGGCUGUGCAGGGCUGUGCAGGGAGCAGGGGAGGUGCAGCCCGUGAACCAGUGCAGGGUUGAGCAAUGCCAGGGUUAUUUGUGUCCCAGGGCCCGGCUCUGCUCCCGACUGACGCAGGUCAGCCCUGCUAAGGCACAAACACCGCCCAGACAAAGAUCUGCAGCUUUGCUGCGAGGUAAAACCACAAGGUCAGGGCUUGGUGCCUGCCUCAGAGCAGCCUCCAGCAGGAGAAGCUCUGAACAGCAGCAGGAGAAAGCGCUGGAACAGGGCAGAGCAGAGACACGGACUCCAGCUGACUCCAUCUGCAGAUCCUGCGGUGCAGCCACCGACAGAAAUGUCACCAAACCCUGCAAAUAGCAGGAGCCAUUCACCUGCCUUUCAGUCAGCUCUGUAUUUCAGUAAUUCAAUUUUGAAGGUAAUUUCCUGACUCAGGCUAA